AUGCUCGCUUUGGAAGCACAUAUACUAACAUUGGACCGAUACAGAGAUUAGUGUAGCUGCCGCUCAAGGAUGACAUGCAAAUCUGUGAAGCGUUCCAUUAAAAA
ensembl:snRNA U6 U6 spliceosomal RNA